GGGCCGUUAGCUCAACUGGCAGAGCAGCGGACUUUUAAUCCGCGGGUUCAGGGUUCGAGCCCCUGGCGGCCCA
rnacentral:tRNA from 2 species